GAACUUAAGUCUGGCGCCUUAACCACUCGGCCAACCUGGUGUUUGCUCAUUCAUCCGCCUUCCAGUGAGUUAAGAUGCUUGUUCUCAUCAUCUAAUCAACGGAUUCAACUGUGGUAUUUUCAUGUUGUGCCUAGAAGUGUGAGGAUCGAACUCACGUCUCUAUACAGAGACCAGAACUUAAGUCUGGCGCCUUAACCGCUCGGCCAACCUGGUGAGAUUCAUUUCACUAUACUUUGCAUAAUUAUCCAAUACCAAUAAAGCUUGUUGCAUAGAUUAGGAUAUAGAAGCGCUAGUAGGUUUUUCCAAGCAAAUUCUUGUGUUACGUUUCCCUCAUUCCUGUAGAAUCAAUAAUGCAAUAGGUGUGAGGAUCGAACUCACGUCUCUUCUCAGAGACCAGAACUUAAGUCUGGCGCCUUAACCACUCGGCCAACCUGGUACUGGAAUUCCUCCUAUCACGAAUUUCCAACUCGUUCCUCGUUUUUUUUUUUUUAAAUUUCACUCCUUUUAACAAAAGUAUCUUUUUUUUAUUAUCAAAACAUUUGAUUGUAACUUGAUAUUUUCAGCCAAUGAAAAAGCUCACGGGUUUCGGUAGUAACAUCAA